CUUAUAAAUACGGGGGGUCAAAAACGUUUUAACCUAGAGAAAGGGGGGGGGGGCAAAAAAAGUUUUUGAACUUAAAUACCAUGUCUAGAGUUCUGAUUUCUAUAAAUAGCAUAGACUCACAAAUAGCAUAGACUCACAAAUAGCAUAGACUCACAAAUAGCAUAGACUCACAAAUAAUAAUGCCAAAGAGGUAAAGAAGACUCUGAAUAUGCCAUUUCCAACAAUCUAAAGACUCAAAAUUUUCAACAUUUCCCUGCUCGGCGCCAAUUAUGGUAGCGCCUCGUGGGAGCCGGGCCCACUAAGUUUAAUUAACAAGCUUCCUACCCCCUGAGUGAUCCAGUUGUGGUGUUUACAUAAACAUACCAUGCAAGAAGUACUUAACUGAUUAGAUUCGGUCUAUCAAAGCAGAAUGUAACUCUGUAUAUCCAAAAAUCUGUUUCAGAAAAUGCUCACAUUUCAGUCCUAUGGGUGGAAAAAUACAAAAAAAGUUUCUGGGGGAGAAUACCCCCAGACCCCCCUACUUGUACAUAAGAUACCACACCAAACUUUUGGUCACCAACAACCAUCUGUCAUCUCUCCACACUCAGUAUAGUAUGGUCCUUUUUUGUAGAUGCCCACCCCCCAGACAAGGCGUAAAAAAACCCUGUGUUCAAAUCAUUUCGCUGUAUGAAGACAGGCCAUUAGUCUCCUACGCAUACCUACUUAAUUAGCGGCGGGCCCAAACCCGCUAAAGUAGGUCUGCAUAGGAGACUAACAGUCCAUGGGUUAGGAUUAUGGUAUGAGGACAAAUGUUGCAUUGCAAAGUAGUAAACACA